ACAUGCAAGUCGAACGGACACUUCGGUGUUAGUGGCAAACGGCUGAGUAACGCGUGGGUGACCUGCCUGGAAGUGGGGAAUAACUGCCCGAAAGGGUGGCUAAUACCGCAUGUGAUGGAUGUUCCAUUACAUCCAUGAAAGUCUUCGGAUGCUUCGAGAGGGGCCCGCGUUCGAUUAGCUAGUUGGUGGGGUAACGGCCUACCAAGGCGACGAUCGAUAGCUGGUCUAAGAGGAUGAUCAGCCAGACUGGGACUGCGACACGGCCCAGACUCCUACGGGAGGCAGCAGUUAGGAAUUUUGGGCAAUGGGCGAAAGCCUGACCCAGCAACGCCGCGUGGGUGAUGAAGGCCUUCGGGUCGUAAAGCCCUUUUUCAGGGGAAGAUGAUGACGGUACCCUGAGAAUAAGCCCCGGCUAACUACGUGCCAGCAGCCGCGGUAAUACGUAGGGGGCAAGCGUUGUCCGGAUUUAUUGGGCGUAAAGCGCGCGUAGGCGGCGCGGUAUGUCGUGCGUGAAAUCUCCCGGCUUAACUGGGAGGGGCCGUGCGAAACUGCCGGGCUUGAGGUCGGAAGGGGAAAGUGGAAUUCCGGGUGUAGUGGUGGAAUACGUAGAUAUCCGGAGGAACAC
rnacentral:rRNA from 1 species